rnacentral:tRNA from 1 species
GGAGGGAUGCCGGAGUGGCCAAACGGCGCCGCCUUGAAAGCGGAUGGGGCGGUAACGCCCUCGGGGGUUCGACUCCCUCUCCCUCCG